UACGGGGGGGGCAAGCGUUGUUCGGAAUUACUGGGCGUAAAGGGCUCGUAGGCGGCCCACUAAGUCAGACGUGAAAUCCCUCGGCUUAACCGGGGAACUGCGUCUGAUACUGGAUGUCUUGAGUUCGGGAGAGGGAUGCGGAAUUCCAGGUGUAGCGGUGAAAUGCGUAGAUAUCUGGAGGAACACCGGUGGCGAAGGCGGCAUCCUGGACCGAUACUGACGCUGAGGAGCGAAAGCCAGGGGAGCAAACGGG
rnacentral:rRNA from 1 species